rnacentral:rRNA from 1 species
GUCUAUGGCCAUACUACCCUGAACACACCUGACCUUGUCUGAUCUCAAAAGCUAAGCAGGGUGGGGCCUGGUUAGUACUUGGAUGGGAGAAAAUUUAGGUAAUUUGUUCAGGGUUGUCU